AAUAAGUACAGUUUUGCACUGUUUAUAUUUAAUAUUUGACCGUUUAUCUUAUUUGAAUUUUUUUUAUGAUUAGUAUUUUUAUUUUAAUUAGAUGAUAAAAUAUGAAUAAUAUUUUAUAUAUGACUAUUUUUUAAUUUUUUUAUAAAUAUUUUAAAUAAGACGGACGGUCAAACGUUGGAUCAGUACGUGCAUGAAUACCUUUUAU
rnacentral:pre_miRNA from 1 species